rnacentral:piRNA from 1 species
UGGAAGGUAUGGGAAGUUCCUAAGAGAGC